ACACGAACUCUAACAAGGAGGCCUGUGAUAUGAGGAUAUGUUUGGACCACAACCAAAAAUAUUUCACCUCACAAAAGGCUGAGAACCCGUGCAGGACUGAGAUGGAUACAGAGAUUGCUACAUCACUCUGGCGUCAUGACCGGCUUUGGGCGGAUUUCUUCUUGUGCACUUGAAGCAUAAGCGUUUAGCAUGAUUCAGCGUUAAGCCCAACAGUCCAGCCCAAGUGCAGACAGACAGGGGAAGAUCCUGCAGGAGAUGGUGACAGGAGGAAUGAGGACAUGUAAGAGCCAGCGGUGAGGAAAGACCAAUGCCAAAAGAUGUGCAUUGUUUAUUUAAUUACAGACUUCACAGGGAUUUUGGCAGAAGUCCAUGUGAGAAAUUGUUGCACAACAUUCACUUCUUUUUAACCGUGUGCCCCAGAAAGGGUUACAGGACAUUUGUAGUAGGUAAAAGUAUGGUAUGAAGUAAAUUAUACUCUUAAGAUAUUUGAUGAGAUUUCCGCUUUAAUUGACACUUUUAUAGAUGUGUACUAUUCUGUCAUCGGAUAAUAAGUCAAGUGCGUGUUUGUGUACUUCUGUAUGCGGUUGGCAAGUUGUUAGGAAUGGAUGAUAUCAUGACUUAACAGUAUCAACACUCUGUUUGUAAUGAUUUUUUGUAAUGUUCAUGGGUGUUCCUGUAGCUUAAUUUGUAGAGCACCACAUCUGCAGCACAAAGUGAAUGUGCUCGA